UAUUACUGCUAGACAAAGUUGGACACGGAAAUGACAUCAGAUUAAACAGCUUGCUUUUGCACAUUAUCACAUAAUUGUGCUAAAUGCUCACUGCAGUAUUUCCCUUACGGGGUCAAGGACACUGGUGUGCACUCAAAAGGUGACUCCCUAAUGAGUCUAUAUAGGUGCUCUUGGCUGAUACAGGAAGACUAAUUACUUAGAGCAGGAAGUCUGUGCGCUUUAUGAAACUGCCACCAGGGAUCUUCCUCAUGAGGUUUGUUUUUUUGGAGGCACAAUAGACCAGUGUGUUUGAAGGUAUAGCGAUCACUGAACGUUCCCUGCAAAUUGGACUGUUGUUUAACGACACACAUGGGCGCUCACCUGUCCAAAUCCUCGACUUAUUUAUAUUAACAAUAUUUUUCAGGAUUAAUGGCUUGUUGUCAUCUUAGUCCUUAAUCUGUGGGCACCAGGCAGCUCUGAACCUGACAGAUGUGUUAUUGGGUGAGGAUUGCCCUGCGGCCGGGCUGAGAGCGGGAAGAAGCGUGACUGACAUGUGCCUUACAUCAGUGGUGGAUGAUGGACAAGAGAUGCAGCUUAGCCACAUUCCUGCCAGUCCACACUCUCUCUCUCUCUCUCGCUCGGUGGAUGAUUUGGCAGUCACAGCAUACAGAAGGUACAACAGGUUUAUGAAGUGUUGGAAAUCUGGAACAACAUCCUAGAGAUAUCAGAGCUCAGUAGAGCAAUGUGGUGUCUGUCUUUUUUUUUCUUUUUAAUAUUGACAUGUUCAGUCAAGCAAUUUGUAUGCCAUCAUCCCUCAAUGAAAGGGAAAAUUCUCCAACUUUGCUUCCUCUCUAAUGACCUGUAAGCAUGUCAGGACUUCAGACGUUUGAAAGACAGCAUUUCUGCGUGCUCUGUACAAGCUGACGAGAUCAAAUAUCUCUUAAUGCUUGUAAUUCACUGUAAAUCAUGGUGACAAACGACUAUUAUCAUGGAUUUUGGGAAAUGUGAAAACUCAGCAUGCCAGGGGGAGCUGAGUCACUUUAACUCAAAUAAACAUACAGUUUAUAGUGAGGGUGUUUCA
ensembl:lncRNA